rnacentral:tRNA from 1 species
UGACGCUACGGACUUAAAAUCCGUCGACUUUAAAAAUCGUGAGGGUUCAAGUCCCUCUAUCCCCA